AGAGAGAGACAUGCGCGCAUAUCAAUAAGCGGAGGAAAAGAAACUAACUAGGAUUCCCUUAGUAACGGCGAGUGAAGCGGGAAGAGCUCAAGUUUGAAAUCUUCAAGGUUUUACCUUGACGAAUUGUAGUUUAAAGAAGUGUUUUCUGUUGGAGUUUUGGUAAAAGUUCUUUGGAAUAGGACAUCAUAGAGGGUGAGAAUCCCGUAUUUGACCAUUAUUUCCAGCUUUGUGAUACACUUUCAAAGAGUCGGAUUGUUUGGGAAUGCAGUCCAAAAUGGGUGGUAAAUUUCAUCUAAAGCUAAAUAUUGGCGAGAGACCGAUAGCGAACAAGUACCGUGAGGGAAAGAUGAAAAGAACUUUGAAAAGAGAGUUAAACAGUACGUGAAAUUGUCAAAAGGGAAGCGUUUGACACCAGUGUUGUUUUCUCGAAAAUCAAUUAAAAAGAGUCAGAUUUUGUGUUGUAUUGACCUUAAUCAGCUUCUGCACUUCAAUUUUCUUGUCUUUUUUAAUGCACUUUUCGUUUAACAAGUCAACAUCAGUUUCUUUUGUUGUAAAAGGGUCAUUGGAAGGUGGCUUUCUUUUCGGAGAAAGUGUUUAUAGCCUUUGGCCUCUGCAAUCGGAGAGAUUGAGGUCUGCAGCGUAGAUCCUUCGGGGUUAGAUACAUUUGUGCUAAGUUAUAGCCUUUCAUAGACAACUUGUUGACUAUGAUCAGUCAUGUAGCUUACUCGCUUAUGCUAUUUUACCUACGCUUAGGAUGUUGAUGUGAUACUGCGAGCA
rnacentral:rRNA from 1 species